AUUGAACGCUGGCGGCAUGCUUAACACAUGCAAAUCGAGCGGAGAUGAGGUGCUUGCACCUUAUCUUAGCGGCGGACGGGUGAGUAAUGCUUAGGAAUCUGCCUAUUAGUGGGGGACAACAUUCCGAAAGGAAUGCUAAUACCGCAUACGUCCUACGGGAGAAAGCAGGGGAUCUUCGGACCUUGCGCUAAUAGAUGAGCCUAAGUCGGAUUAGCUCGGUGGUGGGGUAAAGGCCUACCAAGGCGACGAUCUGUAGCGGGUCUGAGAGGAUGGUCGUCCACACUGGGACUGAGAAACGGCCCAGACUCCUACGGGAGGCAGCAGUGGGGAAUAUUGGACAAUGGGGGGAACCCUGAUCCAGCCAUGCCGCGUGUGUGAAGAAGGCCUUAUGGUUGUAAAGCACUUGAAGUCGGGAGGAAGGGCUGUAGGCUAAUACCUUGCAGUUUUGACGUUACCGACAGAAUAAGCACCGGCUAACUUCGUGCCAGCCGCCGCAGUAAAAC
rnacentral:rRNA from 1 species